UACGAAGGGGGCUAGCGUCGUUCGGAAUUACUGGGCGUAAAGCGCACGUAGGCGAACAUUUAAGUCAGGGGUGAAAUCCCGGGGCUCAACCCCGGAACUGCCUUUGAUACUGGGUGUCUAGAGUCCGGAAGAGAUGAGUGGAAUUCCGAGUGUAGAGGUGAAAUUCGUAGACAUUCGGAGGAACACCAGUGGCGAAGACGGCUCACUGGUCCGGUACUGACGCUGAGGUGCGAAAGCGUGGGGAGCAAACAGG
rnacentral:rRNA from 1 species